rnacentral:rRNA from 1 species
UGAAUACGAGACGCUAAGGCGUCGAAGUAGUGUAUGUCAUACUUCCAAGAAAAGCUUGCACUGUCAUAGAUAAAAAACGCCUGUACCAUAACCGACACAGGUGGGUAGGUAGAGUAUACUAAGGGGCGCGAGAUAACUCUCUCUAAGGAACUCGGCAAAAUAACUCCGUAACUUCGGGAGAAGGAGUGCCUUAUUCGUAAGGUUGCAAUAACAAGAUCCAAGCAACUGUUUAUCAAAAACACAGGUCUCCGCUAAGUCGUAAGACGAUGUAUGGGGGCUGACGCCUGCCCAGUGCCAGAAGGUUAAAGAAGUUGGUUAGCAAUUGCGAAGCUGAUAACUGAAGCCCUGGUGAACGGCGGCCGUAACAAUAACGGUCCUAAGGUAGCGAAAUUCCUUGUCGGGUAAGUUCCGGCCCGCACGAAAGGCGUAAUGAUUUGGAUACUGUCUCGGAGAGGGGCUCGGUGAAAUAGACUUGUCUGUGAAGAUGCGGACUACCUGCACCAGGACAGAAAGACCCUAUGAAGCUUUACUGUAACUUGAAAUUGAAAUUGGACUUUAUUCGCGCAGUAUAGGUGGGAGGCGUUGAUUAUAAUCUUGUGGGAUUAUUGGAGCCAUCAGUGAGAUACCACUCUUGUAAUGUUAGAUUUCUAACUUUGAAUCAUUAUCUGGUCAAAGAACAGUUUCAGGCGGGCAGUUUGACUGGGGCGGUCGCCUCCUAAACGGUAACGGAGGCGUACAAAGGUUUCCUCUGAACGGUUAGAAAUCGUAUCUAGAGUGUAAAGGCAUAAGGAAGCUUGACUGUGAGACCUACAAGUCGAGCAGGGACGAAAGUCGGUCUUAGUGAUCUGACGGUACUGAGUGGAAAGGCCGUCACUCAACGGAUAAAAGUUACUCUAGGAUAACAGGCUGAUCUCCCCCAAGAGUUCACAUCGACGGGGAGGUUUGGCACCUCGAUGUCGGCUCAUCGCAUCCUGGGGCGGUAGUACGUCCCAAGGGUUGGGCUGUUCGCCCAUGAAAGCGGUACGCGAGCUGGGUUCAGAACGUCGUGAGACAGUUCGGUCCAUAUCCGGUGUAGGCGUUAGAAUAUUGAGAGGAGCCUUCUUUAGUACGAGAGGACCGAGAAGGACAUACCUCUGGUGUACCAGUUAUCGUGCCAACGGUAAACGCUGGGUAGCUAUGUAUGGAGUGGAUAACCGCUGAAAGCAUCUAAGUGGGAAGCCCACCUCAAGAUAAGUAUUC